rnacentral:rRNA from 1 species
ACGGGAGGCAGCAGUGGGGAAUAUUGGGCAAUGGGCGAAAGCCUGACCCAGCAACGCCGCGUGAAGGAAGAAGGUCUUCGGAUUGUAAACUUCUUUUAUGUGGGACGAAGAAAGUGACGGUACCACAUGAAUAAGCCACGGCUAACUACGUGCCAGCAGCCGCGGUAAUACGUAGGUGGCAAGCGUUAUCCGGAUUUACUGGGUGUAAAGGGCGCGUAGGCGGGAUGGCAAGUCAGAUGUGAAAUCUAUGGGCUCAACCCAUAAACUGCAUUUGAAACUGUCAUUCUUGAGUGCUGGAGAGGUAGAUGGAAUUCCUUGUGUAGCGGUGAAAUGCGUAGAUAUAAGGAAGAACACCAGUGGCGAAGGCGAUCUACUGGACAGUAACUGACGCUGAGGUUCGAAAGCGUGGGUAGCAAACAGGAUUAGAUACCCUGGUA